rnacentral:misc_RNA from 1 species
UGCUUCUGUAUCUCAUCAUUUUUCGUUUUCUCAUAUAGUCCAAGCAAACCAAAUCCAAUUCCUCAUGAUUAUGCAUUAUAUUGUUGUCGCAAUCUAACCAAGUUUCUUAUAUUGAGCAUUGAUGUUUUAACACGAAAAAGCUUAUGUUAUAGAAUAGAAACAGGGCAAAGAUCGAGCAAAUAAAUAACUAAACUUCAUUUCAG